rnacentral:rRNA from 1 species
UACGAAGGGGGGCUAGCGUUGCUCGGAAUCACUGGGCGUAAAGGGUGCGUAGGCGGGUCUUUAAGUCAGGGGUGAAAUCCUGGAGCUCAACUCCAGAACUGCCUUUGAUACUGAGGAUCUUGAGUUCGGGAGAGGUGAGUGGAACUGCGAGUGUAGAGGUGAAAUUCGUAGAUAUUCGCAAGAACACCAGUGGCGAAGGUGGCUCACUGGCCCGAUACUGACGCUGAGGCACGAAAGCGUGGGGAGCAAACAGG